rnacentral:rRNA from 1 species
GAGUUUGAUCAUGGCUCAGGAUGAACGCUGGCGGCGUGCUUAACACAUGCAAGUCGAGCGAAGCACUUUCUCGGAAGUUUUCGGAUGGAAGGGGGAAUGACUGAGCGGCGGACGGGUGAGUAACGCGUGGGGAACCUGCCUCAUACAGGGGGAAUAACAGAUGGAAACGUCUGCUAAUGCCGCAUAAGCGCACACUGUGGCAUCACAGAGUGUGAAAAACUCCGGUGGUAUGAGAUGGCCCCGCGUCUGAUUAGGCAGUUGGCGGGUAACGGCCCACCAAACCGACGAUCGGUAGCCGACCUGAGAGGGUGACCGGCCACAUUGGGACUGAGACACGGCCCAAACUCCUACGGGAGGCAGCAGUGGGGAAUAUUGCACAAUGGGGGAAACCCUGAUGCAGCGACGCCGCGUGGGUGACGAGUAUUUCGG